AUUUGCUCAGGCCAAUCUACACCCCGUGGCCAUUAAAAGUUAUCAAAAUCAUGACGCUGCACCCCAAGGUUUAGGUUCUAGGGGGCGCCAAAGAUAACACUAAAAUCCACAUAUUUAAAAGUCUUAUAACUUUUUAUUUUUGUCCUCACUGGCCUCCAAGUUUUCUAGGAUGAUGCAAUGUCCAGCCAUCAACACAUUUGUGAAGGAAUUUUUACUCCCCAAAAGAGCGCCCCCCCAUGGCAGGAGAAAAAAGUCAAUUUUUUCUUGUCCCCUAAGGUGAAAAAACACAUUGUUGACUGUCACGCCUAUACGCUUUGUCAAAAUGACACAAAAUUUGACACACACGUGUAUCUCAAUAAGAUCUACGAAAAAGUCAAUGGGCACGUAUCUGUAAAAUGUACGGUUAAAGGGCUAUUUCGCAUUUUUUGCCGAUUCGCACACAUUGGAAUGUGGCUAACUCCUCCUAAGGCUUUCUUCCCACCGACACCAAAUUUGCUCAAGCCGAUCUACAUCCCAUGGCCAUUCAAAGUUGUAAAAAUCAUGCCGCUGCACCCCAUGGUUUAAGUUCUAGGGGGCGCCAAAGAUGACCCAAAUAUCCACAUUCUUAAAAGAAUCCACAUACCCCCCCCCCCCCCACGGCAGGAGAAAAAGUCCAGUUAACCCUGCCCAUCGCUCAAUGGCUCAAUCGCAUCGCUCACCUGGCAACACCGUAAGGAGGAGCAACUUGCCAUUUGGAUAUAUCCUAGCUGUGUUUGUGCCCUCACUCAUGGUCCAGACUUUUUUCAAAUAGGACAUGUAGUUUGUCUGCAGCGACCGUUUUGGUAGAAACUGCGCCUCCCAUUCAUUAUAAUGGGAAAUGACCACAGACAAGUGCGCACACCAUCUUUGGACCUUGAGUGUGAUGCGAUCGGGAGGGGGAGGCGGUCGCGCUGGGGGCGCCGCGACGCGGCUCGGGCCCGACAGUGCCCCACCGGGGCCCUAGUCUUUGUUUCUUUUUUCUUUUUCCUCCCCUUUGAACUGGAAAAUGGCCCACUUCCCACUGGCGAAAACUCAGGAAAUUUGGCAGGACGACCGGGCCUGGUGAAAAAUUUGAUAUUCCGAAGUCGCCCAAACAAGAAAAUGCAAAAUGGCUCCAUAGCGCCCCCUAAGGUGAAAAUUCACACUAUUGACUGUCACGCCUGUACGCUUUGUCAAAAUGACACAAAAAUUGACACACACAUGUAUCUCAAUAAGAUCUACAAAAAAGUCAGUGCGGGCGUAUCUGUCAAAUGUACGGUUAAAGGGUUAUUUCGCAUUUUUUGCCGAUCCGCACACAUUGGAAUUUCGCUAACUCCUCCGAAGGCUUUCGUUCCACCGGCACCACAUUUGCUCAGGCCAAUCUACACCCCAUGGCCAUUAAAAGUUAUUCAAAUCAUGACGCUGCACCCCACGGUUUAGGUUCUAGGGGGCGCCAAAGAUAACCCUAAAAUCCACAUUUUUAAAAGUCUUAUAACUUUUUAUUUUUGCCCUCACUGGCCUCCAAGUUUUCUAGGAUGAUGCAAUGUCCAGCCAUCAACACAUGUGUGAAGGAAUUUUUACUCCCCAAAAGAGCGCCCCCCCAUGGCAGGAGAAAAAAGUCCAUUUUUUCUUGUCCCCUAAGGUGAAAAUACACAUUGUUGACUGUCACGCCUAUACGCUUUGUCAAAAUGACACAAAAAUUGACACACACAUG